GAUGAACGCUGGCGGCGUGCCUAAUACAUGCAAGUCGAGCGAACGGACGAGAAGCUUGCUUCUCUGAUGUUAGCGGCGGACGGGUGAGUAACACGUGGAUAACCUACCUAUAAGACUGGGAUAACUUCGGGAAACCGUAGCUAAUACCGGAUAAUAUUUUGAACCGCAUGGUUCAAAAGUGAAAGACGGUCUUGCUGUCACUUAUAGAGGGUUCCGCGCUGCUUUAGCUAGUUGGUAAGGUAACGGCUUACCAAGGCAACGAUGCAUAGCCGACCUGAGAGGGUGGUCGGCCACACUGGAACUGAGACACGGUCCAGACUCCUACGGGAGGCAGCAGUAGGGAAUCUUCCGCAAUGGGCGAAAGCCUGACGGAGCAACGCCGCGUGAGUGAUGAAGGUCUUCGGAUCGUAAAACUCUGUUAUUAGGGAAGAACAUAUGUGUAAGUAACUGUGCACAUCUUGACGGUACCUAAUCAGAAAGCCACGGCUAACUACGUG
rnacentral:rRNA from 1 species